GAGGCCUGUGAUUUUGCUACUUGAUAAGUUUUUAUUCAUGAUACUGGCGAGGGGGUACAAAAUGAAGUCGUGAAUUGAUGCCGC
rnacentral:sRNA from 1 species